rnacentral:rRNA from 1 species
CCUACGGGAGGCAGCAGUGAGGAAUAUUGGUCAAUGGGCGCGAGCCUGAACCAGCCAAGUAGCGUGAAGGAUGACUGCCCUACGGGUUGUAAACUUCUUUUAUAAAGGAAUAAAGUGAGGCACGUGUGCCUUUUUGUAUGUACUUUAUGAAUAAGGAUCGGCUAACUCCGUGCCAGCAGCCGCGGUAAUACGGAGGAUCCGAGCGUUAUCCGGAUUUAUUGGGUUUAAAGGGAGCGUAGAUGGGUUGUUAAGUCAGUUGUGAAAGUUUGCGGCUCAACCGUAAAAUUGCAAUUGAUACUGGCAGUCUUGAGUGGGCGAGAAGUAUGCGGAAUGCGUGGUGUAGCGGUGAAAUGCAUAGAUAUCACGCAGAACUCCGAUUGCGAAGGCAGCAUACCGGCGCCCGACUGACGCUGAGGCACGAAAGCGUGGGUAUCGAACAGGAUUAGAUACCCCUGUAGUC